rnacentral:rRNA from 1 species
UACGGAAGGCAGCAGUAGGGAAUCUUCCGCAAUGGGCGAAAGCCUGACGGAGCAACGCCGCGUGAGUGAUGAAGGUCUUCGGAUCGUAAACUCUGUUAUUAGGGAGACAAACGUGUAAGUAACUGUGCACGUCUUGACGGUACCUAAUCAGAAAGCCACGGCUAACUACGUGCCAGCAGCCGCGGUAAUACGUAGGUGGCAAGCGUUAUCCGGAAUUAUUGGGCGUAAAGCGCGCGUAGGCGGUUUUUUUAAGUCUGAUGUGAAAGCCCACGGCUCAACCGUGGAGGGUCAUUGGAAACUGGAAACUUGAGUGCAGAAGAGGAAAGUGGAAUUCCAUGUGUAGCGGUGAAAUGCGCAGAGAUAUGGAGGAACACCAGUGGCGAAGGCGACUUUCUGGUCUGUAACUGCGCUGAUGUGCGAAAGCGUGGGGAUCAAACAGGAUUAGAUACC